rnacentral:rRNA from 1 species
CCUACGGGGGGCAGCAGUGGGGAAUAUUGGACAAUGGGCGCAAGCCUGAUCCAGCCAUGCCGCGUGGGUGAUGAAGGCCCUAGGGUUGUAAAGCCCUUUCGGCGGGGAAGCGGUACCCGCAGAAGAAGCCCCGGCUAACUUCGUGCCAGCAGCCGCGGUAAUACGAAGGGGGCUAGCGUUGCUCGGAAUUACUGGGCGUAAAGCGCACGUAGGCGGUUUCUUAAGUCGGGGGUGAAAUCCUGGAGCUCAACUCCAGAACUGCCUUCGAUACUGGGAAACUUGAGUUCGGGAGAGGUGAGUGGAACUGCGAGUGUAGAGGUGAAAUUCGUAGAUAUUCGCAAGAACACCAGUGGCGAAGGCGGCUCACUGGCCCGAACUGACGCUGAGGUGCGAAAGCGUGGGGAGCAAACAGGAUUAAUACCCUUGUAGUC